rnacentral:rRNA from 1 species
UGGGGAAUAUUGGACAAUGGGGGCAACCCUGAUCCAGCAAUGCCGCGUGUGUGAAGAAGGUCUUCGGAUUGUAAAGCACUUUCGACGGGGACGAUGAUGACGGUACCCGUAGAAGAAGCCCCGGCUAACUUCGUGCCAGCAGCCGCGGUAAUACGAAGGGGGCUAGCGUUGCUCGGAAUGACUGGGCGUAAAGGGCGUGUAGGCGGUUUACACAGUCAGAUGUGAAAUCCCCGGGCUUAACCUGGGAGCUGCAUUUGAUACGUGUAGACUAGAGUGUGAGAGAGGGUUGUGGAAUUCCCAGUGUAGAGGUGAAAUUCGUAGAUAUUGGGAAGAACACCGGUGGCGAAGGCGGCAACCUGGCUCAUGACUGACGCUGAGGCGCGAAAGCGUGGGGAGCAAA